GAGGUCGUAGCUCAAUGGCAGAGCAUUUGCUUGUGGAGCAAAGGGUUGGGGGUUCAAUUCCCCUCGGCCUCC
rnacentral:tRNA from 1 species